rnacentral:misc_RNA from 1 species
AGUCGUAACAAGGUUUCCGUAGGUGAACCUGCGGAAGGAUCAUUAACACGUAUCCAAACGUUAAAACCCCCCCCGUGAACCUUCAUCCUGCUCUUGUAACCCGCGUAGUUCGCAAUCUCUGAUAAAUCAUAGCCCGGAAAGUUGUAGUGAUUCACCUCUGGCGAGUUACAAUCGAGCGGUAGUUCUAUAGGCAAUGUUUCCCCAAGCAGUCAGUGUCGGAAAGUGUCAUUGAUUGUGCAAGGAUAGCGCUUCUACGAUUCCUGUAGACCGUACACUCGGGCAGGAGCUUUGCCAAAAGGUCCCCAUGCGGUAAAAAAACCGAACAACUGUUAACAAUGGAUAUCUUGGUUCUC